rnacentral:rRNA from 1 species
AUUGAACGCUGGCGGCAGGCCUAACACAUGCAAGUCGAGCGAGCGGCGGACGGGUGAGUAAUGUAUGGGGAACUGCCCGAUAGAGGGGGAUAACUACUGGAAACGGUAGCUAAUACCGCAUACUAUCGGAUGAACCCAUCUGGGAUUAGCUAGUAGGUGGGGUAAAGGCUCACCUAGGCGACGAUCUCUAGCUGGUCUGAGAGGAUGAACAGCCACACUGGGACUGAGACACGGACCAGACUCCUACGGGAGGCAGGAGUGGGGAAUAUUGCACAAUGGGCGCAAGCCUGAUGCAGCAAUGCCGCGUGUAUGAAGAAGGCCUUAGGGUUGUAAAGUACUUUCAGCGGGGAGGCGUUACUCGCAGAAGAAGCACCGGCUAACUCCGUGCUAGCAGCCGCGGUAAUAC